AUAUCAAUAAGCGGAGGAAAAGAAACUAACAAGGAUUCCCCUAGUAACUGCGAGUGAAGCGGGAAGAGCUCAAAUUUAAAAUCUGGCGGUCUCCGGCUGUCCGAGUUGUAAUCUAGAGAAGUGUUACUCGCGCUGGACCGUGUAACAGUCUCCUGGAAUGGAGCUCAUAGAGGGUGAGAAUCCCGUCUUUGACUGAGUGCCUGCUACUAU
rnacentral:rRNA from 1 species